UGAAGUAUGGUCCGAUUCACACAUAUCUC
rnacentral:piRNA from 1 species